rnacentral:rRNA from 1 species
UGCAAAACAUCCUUCACCCCCGUGCAAAAUAUCCCCAAGCCCCAACUCGAACCCGACUCCACAAACCUAACUAGUGGCUGCCGCCGCCCUCCUCGUGCUAGAUCCACAAUCCUACCGCCGGCCUCGCGCUCCACCCCGUCGUCAAGCCGUCGUGUCGGAGCUCGCAUUGCCCCGCCCCCGAGCUCCACCUCGACAUCCACCUGUCCUUGCGCUCCACCCCUUCCCCCCGAGCUCCAUCCCAAGACCGAGCCGCCGUCCUUGAGAUCCACAUACAAUCGCUGUCCUCGGGCCGCCCCCUCGACAUCCAGCCGUCGUCCUCGCCAAUCCCCGUCCCUGCUGCUGCCGGGGCCCCAUCUCCUGGCCCCCCCUGCCGCCGCCCCUGCUGUUGCCGCGGCUCCAUCUCUGGGCUCUCGCUGCUGCCGCACCUGCUGUUGCCGGGGCUCCAUCUCUGGGCUCUUGCUGCUGCCGGACCUGCUGCAACGGGACCUGCUGCUGCUGGGGAUCCAUCCCCUUCGAGCCGCGCCCCUCUCGAAGCCAGCCGUCGCCAUGCCCGAGUGUCAUACAGGUGGAUAGUUGUUCAACAAAAUGAUAUCUGAACUUCAAGCUGGUACCAUAAAAAAAAUAUUUGCUUCGGUGUUCUGAAGUUUCUCGAUGAAGUGUAAUAUAUUUGACCAUUAGCGACACCCUUCACCAUAAGGCAUAGAUGUACCAAUGAUGUUAUUUCUUGAAGCCAAUUUGAAAUUUUGUAUCUCUUGUGAGUAGCAAGUAAACUGCUCAGGUUGAUCUUAUUUGUAUAUCUUGGAAUUGUUUCCUGGUUGAUAUAUUGGAAGAGCGUUGUUAGUCCAGAAUUAAUCAGUAUAAUUCAGUUUGGUUCAGUUCAGGACAUAGUAAGUAUGCUUUCGAGCAAAUAAUCAAAAUUAUCUGUUAAGAAGAACAUAUCAGGCUUGUGUUUUCAAUCUCCAUGUACUUCUAUGGUUCCAAAUCUUCUCCUAUAGCUUUAUUGUCUUAACUGCUUGUAGAACUGUACUGCAAGUUAGUUUAUUAUUGAAGAAAAAAUCAUUUAUUAUGAUGUUGUCAGCUUGUGCUUAAUUUUGUGAUUGCUGAAGGCAAGGAAAAGAGAUGGUGCAGAAGGAGCUUCAGCAGGCAUGACGGUUUGACAACCACAACAUCGCAAGGCCAUCCCCAUGGCCCGGUAACACUAUUUCAGCCGGGAACCACGACCACCAGCAUGCAGCAUGAGCAAUGGGUAGAGAACGGAUGACUACCUCACUGGGAACCAUGGUCGCGCACGUGCAGCAGAAAACGAAUGGUGGAUGGAAAGGCUACCUCACCGGGAACCAGGGCCGCGACUUGUAGUGGGCAACUACUAGGCACUUAGCCGACUGGUGCACAUGGACGUGAUGACUUUGCGGUGUUUAUGGACCAACCAACCUGUAAUCAUGGGUCUUAUGUGUCUUCUAGACAAUUUGAUGUUUUGGGUAUUUUGGAGCUUGCACUCUGUGCAUGUGGAUACAUACUUGUGUUCUGGAGCUAGACCAUCUAGCUGAAGUCUCUCGUACCAGCAAAUAGUGCUCAUCCUUUUGCGACUUGUGUGUUCUGGUGCUAGACCAUCUAGCUGAAGUCUCUCAUACCAGCAAAUAACUUGUGUGUUCUGGGUGCUUGUUAAGAUGGUCAAAACUAUGCUUUGUCAAGAUUGUUGUGUUUGUCAAAUUGAGUUCAGUGUAUAUGCA